AGCGAACGCUGGCGGCAGGCCUAACACAUGCAAGUCGAACGAACUCUUCGGAGUUAGUGGCGGACGGGUGAGUAACACGUGGGAACGUGCCUUUAGGUUCGGAAUAACUCAGGGAAACUUGUGCUAAUACCGAAUGUGCCCUUCGGGGGAAAGAUUUAUCGCCUUUAGAGCGGCCCGCGUCUGUUUAGCUAGUUGGUGAGGUAAAGGCUCACCAAGGCGACGAUCAGUAGCUGGUCUGAGAGGAUGAUCAGCCACAUUGGGGCUGAGACACGGCCCACACUCCUACGGGAGGCAGCAGUGGGGAAUCUUGCGCAAUGGGCGAAAGCCUGACGCAGCCAUGCCGCGUGAAUGAUGAAGGUCUUAGGAUUGUAAAAUUCUUUCACCGGCGACGAUAAUGACGGUACCCGGAGAAGAAGCCCCGGCUAACUUCGUG
rnacentral:rRNA from 1 species